GAAGCAACGCGAAGAACCUUACCAGGUCUUGACAUCCUCUGACAAUCCUAGAGAUAGGACGUUCCCCUUCGGGGGACAGAGUGACAGGUGGUGCAUGGUUGUCGUCAGCUCGUGUCGUGAGAUGUUGGGUUAAGUCCCGCAACGAGCGCAACCCUUGAUCUUAGUUGCCAGCAUUCAGUUGGGCACUCUAAGGUGACUGCCGGUGACAAACCGGAGGAAGGUGGGGAUGACGUCAAAUCAUCAUGCCCCUUAUGACCUGGGCUACACACGUGCUACAAUGGAUGGUACAAAGGGCUGCAAAACCGCGAGGUCGAGCCAAUCCCAUAAAACCAUUCUCAGUUCGGAUUGUAGGCUGCAACUCGCCUACAUGAAGCUGGAAUCGCUAGUAAUCGUGGAUCAGCAUGCCACGGUGAAUACGUUCCCGGGUCUUGUACACACCGCCCGUCACACCACGAGAGUUUGUAACACCCAAAGUCGGUGGGGUAACCGUAAGGAGCCAGCCGCCUAAGGUGGGA
rnacentral:rRNA from 1 species